rnacentral:tRNA from 1 species
UGGGAUGUCUUUCAAUUGGCAGGAAGGAAGUCUUUGAAACUUCUAAUAGUGGUUCGAGUCCACUCGCCCCAACCA